AAUCUGGAACAACACUGCCAACGCGGUGCUAAUACCGGAUGUGAUCACUGGGGCGCAUGCUCUGGUGUUUAAAGGUGACCUCUCCAUGGAAGUUACCGUUUCGAGAUGGCCUUGCGUCCCAUUAGCUAGUUGGCGGGGUGACAGCCCACCAAGGCUGUGAUGGGUAGCCGGUCUGAGAGGGCGAUCGGCCACAUUGGGACUGAGACACGGCCCAGACUCCUACGGGAGGCAGCAGUAGGGAAUUUUGCGCAAUGGACGGAAGACUGACGCAGCAACGCCGCGUGAGGGAUGAAGGUCUUCGGAUUGUAAACCUCUGUUGAUUGGGAAGAAUAACGUCGUGGAUAAUAACCACGAGGGAUGACGGCACCAGUCGAGGAAGCCCCGGCUAACUACGUGCCAGCAGCCGCGGUAGUACGUAGGGGGCAAGCGUUGUUCGGAAUUACUGGGCGGAAAGGGAGCGUAGGCGGAUUGGUAAGUUAGGAGUGAAAUCCACAGGCUUAACCUGUGGGUUGCUUUUAAAACUGCCUUUCUUGAGUAUUGGAGAGGAUGAUGGAAUUCCAGGUGUAGCGGUGGAAUGCGUAGAUAUCUGGAAGAACACCAGCUGCGUAGGCGGUCAUCUGGCCAAAUACUGACGCUGAGGCUCGAAAGCUAGGGGAGCAAACAGGAUUAGAUACCCUGGUAGUCCUAGCCGUAAACGAUGGACACUAGAUGUUGGAAGGUUUUUAUCCUUUCAGUGUCGUAGCUAACGUGUUAAGUGUCCCGCCUGGGGAGUACGCUCGCAAGGGUGAAACUCAAAGGAAUUGACGGGGGCCCGCACAAGCGGUGGAGCAUGUGCUUUAAUUCGACAACGCGAAGAACCUUACCUGGGCUUGACAUGGGAAUGAAAGGCUGCAGAGAUGCGGCCCCUUCCGCAAGGAACAUUCUACACAGGUGCUGCAUGGUUGUCGUCAGCUCGUGUCGUGAGAUGUUAGGUUAAGUCCUGCAACGAGCGCAACCCUCGUCCUUAGUUGCCAUCAGGUAACGCUGGGAACUCUAAGGAGACUGCCUGGUUUAACCAGGAGGAAGGUGGGGAUGACGUCAAAUCAUCAUGGCCCUUACGUCCAGGGCUAGACACGUGCUACAAUGGCCGGUACAAUGGGAUGCUACAUCGCAAGAUGAUGCCAAUCCCGGAAAAUCGGUCUCAGUUCGGAUUGAAGUCUGCAAUUUGACUUCAUGAAGCUGGAAUCGCUAGUAAUCGCGGAUCAGCAUGCCGCGGUGAAUACGUUCCCGGGCCUUGUACACACCGCCCGUCAAGCCAUGAAAGGUGGGAGUACCCAAAGUCGCCUAUUUAACCGCAAGGGAGAUAGCGCCUAAGGUAAGACCACUGAUUGGGGCUAAGUCGAAACAAGGUA
rnacentral:rRNA from 1 species